GCUGUCUUAUGGUGUCUCUGCAAAUUUUGCAAUGGUGUCUGUUUUCAGGGAAAUAUGUGGAUAGGAGAGGUCUGCUGAUGGCAAUCGUCGAGAUGCUGGAACGGUGGAGGCCUUUGCUAGAACAAGAUCUGGGGGUGAAGAUGGAGGCUUUUGUGCAGCAAUUGCAAUCUCAGACACUCCGAUCAGUAAGAAUCACUUGGAGCAACGACGUACAAAGCUCCUCAAUGCUGGAAUCUGCUGUGCUUCAUGGGAGACAGGGAUGUUUGGAUGCAGCUCCUCAGACUUUUGAGAGCCCCACUGUUUCUGCGCCAGAUGUCUGUUUGAAUGCCCUUUUUUUUGAAGGCAUGUCUAUACGCUUGAACUUUAAAUGUUUUCAAAUUGAUAUAAAGACAAAAGGAUCUUGCUUAUUGCAAAUUGUGUGGCAUAUUAGCG
rnacentral:misc_RNA from 1 species